CAGCAACAGAUAAGUUAUUGGUUUCACUUCUUAGGAAACAGGAAGGAGUUAUAACGGCUCACACAGACAGACAACAAUUCCCUAUCAGCAGCACACUAACAAAGGAUGAUGAGGAGGUCAGGAAGAGUCAUGAUUUGUUUUGCAGCUCUGAUCCUUGCACUGGCAUCGGUGUCAGCUGUAGAAAGACUCAAUUCAAUUAAUGAUUAAUUAAUGCCACCCCCACAAGUCCCCUUAAGGUCAAAUGCAUCAAAUAACAGAAAAACUCAGAUAUUAGUCCACUUAAUAUGCCAGAUUAUUUCCUACAAACUCCAUAAAUAUCUGGGGAAUGUGCAAAAAUAGCAAGAAAAUCCCUAUUUUGCGUCGCACAAGAAAGUGGUUUAAAAAAUCCUGGAACUGGCUCUUAAGAACAAAAAGUCUCAUCCAUCAACUAGUUUAGCAGUUUUGUGUAAUACAGUUAACAAAAACUUACGGGCGAAAACCUAAUCUCUUCACUUAGGGUAAAUAAGGCUUUACAACAAACAAGUGCAGCCAUGAGAAACUAAUCUACGAUAAUCAUACUAGGUAAUAAUAAGCCAGGCUUCAUUAGAAACCCUUUAGUCCAAAAGACACUGUGUCAGAUACCUGGACAUGCCAGUUAUCUUCAACACAAAAUGUGUAAUGAUUUAUGGAAUAAUUACACUUUACAGAAUCAUUCCACUGAUAAUUAAAAGCACAAAUAAUCAGCUUUUGCAUGUUGUGUUCAACAACCCCGAAAAACACUGACAGACUAAAAAUAAUAUUUUCAAAGGACGCCUGAUCCAAGCUGCAGUCCCUUCUGCAACCACCAGCAACAGAUUAGUUAGGUUUCAUUUCUAAGGAAACAGGAAAGGGAGUUCGAACAGCUCACACACAGACAGACACAGACAGACACGAUUCCCUAACAGCAACACACUAACAAAGUGUCCUUAUGCUAAUGAGAAAGGCCGGCUUAAUCUCAGUCUCGAGCAGGAUUGGGUGAUGAGGAUGUCAGGAAGAUUCAUGAGUUGCUGUGCAGCUCUGUUCCUUGCACUGGCAUCUGUGUCAGCUGUAGAAAGACUCAAUUCAAUUAAUGAUUUGAAGAAAAUCUACUUUGGUCAAUCUUUGCCCAAACACACUCUUCUACUUCUCCACUGGUUUGCCAACGUAGUUGAAAUCAACAGCAACAACAUCAUACUGUUGACCUUUGAUCCAAACAAUGAAGAUUUUGGAUCGCAUCAUUAUGGCAACUAUGAGGGGAUACUGCCUCAGAGUCACAGGUACUACACUGUUGGCAAUCUCCUUCUAGACAGACGUAACCAACUUCCAAAUUAUGUCGCCCAGCCAAAGGAAGCGUAUGUGGGAGGAAACCGGGACCGGAUCGUGUUUAGUGUCAGACAGCAGAACAUAGGAUGGCAAACUUUGCAACAGAUAGAUCGAGUGUACAUCACACAGCAUUAUGGGCACCAUGGAAGUACGACAUAUGAUCCUGAACAUACCUAUGAGAUCACGAAUAACCUCCUGAGAACAAUCCGAGAGUUUUCUGGGGGAGCAAUCCAGUCACUGAGGACUCUCAGAAAUCGCUAUGGAAGUAACACUAGUGACUUCCAGUUAACAGAAAUCAGAAACAUAUGGGGGAACCUUGCUUGUCUUGGACUGCUGUUGUUUUUUGUGAUCGGGGAAAGGCACUACUUUUACCAACAACAAAGUGCCCACCUUCAGAGUGGGUCAACAGGAGGAAACAAUUUUCUUCUCAUUUUCCUGUUGUUUUUUGUCUUUGCCAUUCUUGGUUCACUCUGGCUUUUCCGUGGUAUGGGAAGAUAAAAAAAGAAAAUUAAACAUACAAUACGCAAUAUUACUUUUAAGAUGAUUGAGAAUCAAGCAGUUAGGACUGAUCAGUGGACCUGGAUAAGGGCUAAUUCUAAAAGCUGGUGUAUGCUUUGUUUUGCUUUCAUGUUUAUCUAAAUGGGUGCUACAUUAUUUUCUUAACACUGUUCUGGUAAAUAUUGAGAUAGAGGUUUUGUGUCUCCAGUGUGUCACUUCAGGUCAGCACUCAUUUAGGCUAAAGUACCAACAUAAAAUCUAUCUGAUCAGUACAUGAUCUUCACAAAGUGUCGACAUCAGUUAAAGACAGUGGUCUAAUGUUAAUUCAGAUUAAGACCUGCAUAUAGAAAUUUAAUUUGUAAGAAUCUUACAUUCCUGGGGAAAUUACAUAACAAAAGAUUAAGGACAUGUUUUACAUUUCUUAGACCAAGAAGUGUGGUCCAAGGAGUUUCUUACAAAACAAAACCCACAUUUAAUUACAGCACAAACUCUUCUUUAAAAUAACUAUUUUUGUACACAUUAAAGCAUUAUACUGGUCUUAACGCUUCAGGCUUAAUUCAUAUUCAAUGUCAUGCUCCAGCACGUCUUAUCCAAUAGUGGUGACUCACUGUUCUUUCAUGUGUUUCCUAGAGAUGAAGAGAAAGUAAAUAGCUCUGAUGCAUAGAUGAAAACGACAAGUGAAAGGAUCUAUGGCGUGCUAAGCAUAGCUCACAUUGAUAAUGUAUUAGCAUAACAAAAAACAAAAAAGAGAUGUAUAUUUUACACAUGGUUUUGUAUUCUUGCUACAAUAUUGUAAAUGGGGUGUUGAUUGAAUACUUGCUGCUGUUUGUUUGGUGUGUAAAUAAAAGGUUUUGAAGACAA